GCUCAGGAUGAACGCGGGCGGCGUGCCUAAGGUAUGCAAGUCGAACGAUGUUAAUUUUCUCGCAAGAGAGAAUUAACAUAGUGGCAGACGGCUGAGUAAUGAAUAAGAACUUACCCAUGACUCAGGGAUAGCCUCGCGAAAGCGGGAGUAAUACUUGAUAGUCUGCAUUAUGCGGAAGCAUAGUACAGUAAAGCUACGGCGGUGAUGGAUAGGCUUAUUUCCUAUCAGCUAGUUGGUGAGGUAAUGGCUCACCAAGGCUAUGACGGGUAGGGGACCUGAGAGGGUGAACCCCCAGAAUGGGACUGAGAAACGGCCCAUACUCCUACGGGAGGCAGCAAUUAGGAAUUAUGCGCAAUGGACGAAAGUCUGACGCUGCGACGCCGCGUGGAGGAUGAAGGUUUUCGGAUUGUAAACUCCUUUUAUGUGGGAGCAAGUUCUGAGAGUACCACAUGAAUAAGCACCUUCCAACUACGUGCCAGAAGAAUCGGUGAUGCGUAGGGUGCAAGCGUUAUCCGGAAUUACUGGGCGUAAAGCGAUACGUAGGCGUUCUUUUAAGUUACUUGUCAAAUCCUGCAGCUUAACUGUAGAACUGCAAGUGAUACUGGAAGAAUUUGAGGAUAUCAGGGGAGAGGGGAACAUCUGGUGGAGCGGUGAAAUGCGUUGAUAUCAGAUGGAACACCAACGGCGAAGGCACCUCUCUGGGAUACUCCUGACGCUAAUGUUCGAAAGCUAGGGGCGCAAAACGGAUUAGAUACCCGUGUAGUCCUAGCCCUAAACUAUCCCUGCUAGAUGUUUGCCGCAGGUAUAUAUGUUCUUCGGAACAUAUGUUCCUCGGUGGGUGUCGUAGCUAACGCGUUAAGCAGGGCGCCUGGGGAGUACGAGC
rnacentral:rRNA from 1 species